UACGUAGGGCGCAAGCGUUGUCCGGAAUUACUGGGCGUAAAGCGUGCGCAGGCGGUUCGUUGUGUCUGAUGUGAAAGCCCCGGGCUCAACCUGGGAAUGGCAUUGGAAACUGGCGAGCUAGAGUGUGGCAGAGGGGGGUGGAAUUCCGCGUGUAGCAGUGAAAUGCGUAGAGAUGCGGAGGAACACCGAUGGCGAAGGCAGCCCCCUGGGCUAGCACUGACGCUCAGGCACGAAAGCGUGGGGAGCAAACAGG
rnacentral:rRNA from 1 species